AAGGGCUCGCUUGCACAAGCUCCCAGGCAUUCCUGGAGUCCUCACUGCUGUGCCCUGGGCUGCGCAAGGCACACAGGGCAGCCGUCCUAGGAAGGAAGUUACACCUAGGAAUCCUCUUCGGUGUGGACAUUACCUCAUCACUACUACUACUGAUGGCCAACAAACCUGGUGUGAGCAGCCACCAGUGCAGGGCGUGGUGAGACAAAUACCAGGUGGACUCCUCACUUCCAGCUCAGGGGGCACCAGGAGGCAGACAGGCUGCACCUGAAGCCCACGUCUAAAGUUUCCUUUCCAUCAAAUACAUUGAAAAAUGUAUUUGACCAAAAGAGUUAAGACUCAAGGCUGGGUGUGGUGGCUCACACCUGUAAUCCCAGCACUUUGGAAGGCUGAGAUGGGCAGAUCACCUGAGGUCAGGAGUUUGAGACCAGCCUGGCCAACAUGGCAAAACCCCAUCUCCACUAAAAAUACAAAAAUUAGCUGGGUGUGGUGGCACACGCCUGUAGUCCCAGCUACUUAGGAGGCUGAGGCAGGAGAAUCGCUUAAACCCGGGAGGCAGAGGCUGCAGUGAGCCAAGAUUGUGCCCCUGCACUCCAGCCUUGGUGACAGAGCGAGACCCUGUCCCUGUCUCAAAAAAAAAAAAAAAAAAAAAAAAAAAAAAGAAAGACUUGAGCCUCAAGAAGUAUGAAGUCAAAAAACAGAAGUUGAUAUAACCACAAUUAAAGCUGACUGCUACCUUAAGUUACCAGACAUAGCUCAUAAAACCAGCUGUCUCAAAAACAGUAUUAUCUUUAUUAAAAAAUGGAUAGAUAUAGCAGCACUUACAAAACAGUUCAUCAAAGGCAUU
rnacentral:lncRNA from 10 species